AUGUUGAAUAUGAGGAAACUGAGUGUUUGAGAUAGUAAAUGGCUGGUGCAUGGUCACAUGCCUAGUAUGUGGCAGAGUGGGGCUUUUACUCCAGAGCCUACCCUCUCUUAUUCCAGCUCUCUGUAUUUAUUGAGGGAAAAGAAAGUGCUUUGCAAAGGAAAUUAAAGCAUUUGAGCUCAGCAGUCCACCCAAGGCGUUUGAGCUCAGAAGUCCUGCUUGGCAUGGCUUAAUUCUGGAAGCUAAUGGAAAGAUAAGGGCUCUUCCUUCCAGCAUAGUGAAACACUUCCAGUCUUCAGCAGGGGGAGGUUGGUCAGAAGGGGCUUGAUUGAUUCCCUCUGGCUAUGAGGAGAGAGGCUGUGGGAUGCUGGUUUCUCUCCUGUCCUUUCAGUGACCUCCAGUAUUGCCCAUGCCCCCUCUCUCAGGUCAGGGCCCCAGCAAGAAGGCAGCCAAGCACAAGGCAGCUGAGGUGGCCCUCAAACACCUCAAAGGGGGGAGCAUGCUGGAGCCGGCCCUGGAGGACAGCAGACUCUUCACUGCCUGAGGACAUUCCGGUUUUUACUGCUGCAGCAGCUGCUACCCCAGUUCCAUCUGUUGUCCUAACCAGGAGCCCCCCCAUGGAACUGCAGCCCCCUGUCUCCCCUCAGCAGUCUGAGUGCAACCCCGUUGGUGCUCUGCAGGAGCUGGUGGUGCAGAAAGGCUGGCGGUUGCCGGAGUACACAGUGACCCAGGAGUCCGGGCCAGCCCACCGCAAAGAAUUCACCAUGACCUGUCGAGUGGAGCGUUUCAUUGAGAUUGGGAGUGGCACUUCCAAAAAAUUGGCAAAGCGGAAUGCGGCGGCCAAAAUGCUGCUUCGAGUGCACACGGUGCCUCUGGAUGCCCGGGAUGGCAAUGAGGUGGAGCCUGAUGAUGACCACUUCUCCAUUGGUGUGGGCUCCCGCCUGGAUGGUCUUCGAAACCGGGGCCCAGGUUGCACCUGGGAUUCUCUACGAAAUUCAGUAGGAGAGAA
rnacentral:sRNA from 1 species